rnacentral:rRNA from 1 species
UACGUAGGUGGCAAGCGUUGUCCGGAAUUAUUGGGCGUAAAGAGCAUGUAGGCGGAGAUUUAAGUCUGUUGUGAAAAUGCGGGGCUCAACCUCGUAUUGCGAUGGAAACUGAAUUUCUUGAGUGCAGGAGAGGAAAGGGGAAUUCCCAGUGUAGCGGUGAAAUGCGUAGAUAUUGGGAGGAACACCAGUGGCGAAGGCGCCUUUCUGGACUGUGUCUGACGCUGAGAUGCGAAAGCCAGGGUAGCGAACGGGAUUAGAUACCCCGGUAGUCCUGGCCGUAAACGAUGGGUACUAGGUGUAGGGGGUAUCGACCCCCCCUGUGCCGGAGUUAACGCAAUAAGUACCCCGCCUGGGGAGUACGGCCGCAAGGUUGAA